UAGCAAGAAACUACAAAGUGUUAUGGUUUCGGCCCAUAAAUAGGUAUGAUCUAUACCCUUGCUUU
rnacentral:tRNA from 1 species